rnacentral:tRNA from 1 species
ACUACGGGGGUGUAAAAAAGCACAUAAAAAUUUGAUUUUUAAAGAAAUGAAUUCAUUCAGUAGUA